AAAGAUUCAUCGCUGAUAGAUAGGCAUGCGUUCCAUUAGGCAGUUGGCGGGGUAACGGCCCACCAAACCGACGAUGGAUAGGGGUUCUGAGAGGAAGGUCCCCCACAUUGGUACUGAGACACGGACCAAACUCCUACGGGAGGCAGCAGUGAGGAAUAUUGGUCAAUGGCCGAGAGGCUGAACCAGCCAAGUCGCGUGAGGGAUGAAGGUUCUAUGGAUCGUAAACCUCUUUUAUAAGGGAAUAAAGUGCGGGACGUGUCCCGUUUUGUAUGUACCUUAUGAAUAAGGAUCGGCUAACUCCGUGCCAGCAGCCGCGGUAAUACGGAGGAUCCGAGCGUUAUCCGGAUUUAUUGGGUUUAAAGGGUGCGUAGGCGGCCUUUUAAGUCAGCGGUGAAAGUCUGUGGCUCAACCAUAGAAUUGCCGUUGAAACUGGGGGGCUUGAGUAUGUUUGAGGCAGGCGGAAUGCGUGGUGUAGCGGUGAAAUGCAUAGAUAUCACGCAGAACCCCGAUUGCGAAGGCAGCCUGCCAAGCCAUUACUGACGCUGAUGCACGAAAGCGUGGGGAUCAAACAGGAUUAGAUACCCUGGUAGUCCACGCAGUAAACGAUGAUCACUAGCUGUUUGCGAUACACUGUAAGCGGCACAGCGAAAGCGUUAAGUGAUCCACCUGGGGAGUACGCCGGCAACGGUGAAACUCAAAGGAAUUGACGGGGGCCCGCACAAGCGGAGGAACAUGUGGUUUAAUUCGAUGAUACGCGAGGAACCUUACCCGGGCUUAAAUUGCAGUGGAAUGUAGUGGAAACAUUACAGCCUUCGGGCCGCUGUGAAGGUGCUGCAUGGUUGUCGUCAGCUCGUGCCGUGAGGUGUCGGCUUAAGUGCCAUAACGAGCGCAACCCUUAUCACUAGUUACUAACAGGUGAAGCUGAGGACUCUGGUGAGACUGCCAGCGUAAGCUGUGAGGAAGGUGGGGAUGACGUCAAAUCAGCACGGCCCUUACAUCCGGGGCGACACACGUGUUACAAUGGCGUGGACAAAGGGAGGCCACCUGGCGACAGGGAGCGAAUCCCCAAACCACGUCUCAGUUCGGAUCGGAGUCUGCAACCCGACUCCGUGAAGCUGGAUUCGCUAGUAAUCGCGCAUCAGCCAUGGCGCGGUGAAUACGUUCCCGGGCCUUGUACACACCGCCCGUCAAGCCAUGGGAGCCGGGGGUACCUGAAGUCCGUAACCGCAAGGAUCGGCCUAGGGUAAAACUGGUGACUGGGGCUAAGUCGUAACAAGGUAGCCGUACCGGAAGGUGCGGCUG
rnacentral:rRNA from 1 species